CACGGGGGGAGCAAGCGUUGUUCGGAAUCACUGGGCGUAAAGGGCGUGCAGGCGGUCAGGUAAGUGAGAUGUGAAAUGCCCCGGCUCACCCGGGGACCGGCAUCUCAUACUGCUUGGCUUGAGUACGGGAGAGGAUGUGGGAAUUCCUGGUGUAGCGGUGAAAUUCGUAGAUAUCAAGCAGAACACCUGCGGCGAAGGCGGCCUUCUGGACGAUGACUGACGCUGAGACGCGAAAGCGUGGGGAGCAAACAGG
rnacentral:rRNA from 1 species